rnacentral:rRNA from 1 species
ACGCACGCUGGCGGCCGGCCUCACCCAUGCAAGUCGCGCGCGGACUUCGGUCCUAGCGGCGGACGGGUGAGUAACGCGUGGGAACGUGCCCUUUGCUUCGGAAUAGCCCUGGGAAACUGGGAGUAAUACCGGAUGAGCCCUUUGGGGGAAAGAUUUAUCGGCGAAGGAUCGGCCCGCGUUGGAUUAGGUAGUUGGUGGGGUAAUGGCCUACCAAGCCGACGAUCCAUAGCUGGUUUGAGAGGAUGAUCAGCCACACUGGGACUGAGACACGGCCCAGACUCCUACGGGAGGCAGCAGUGGGGAAUCUUAGACAAUGGGGGAAACCCUGAUCUAGCCAUGCCGCGUGAGCGAUGAAGGCCUUAGGGUUGUAAAGCUCUUUCAGCUGGGAAGAUAAUGACGGUACCAGCAGAAGAAGCCCCGGCUAACUCCGUG